AUGGAUUUAAUAAAAAAAAAAAAAUAAAAAAAUCUGUUCUUAUCAGUUUAAUAUCUGAUACGUCCCCCAUCCGGGGACUACAUAUUAAAUGGAUUUUUAGAUCACGGGAGCUGGAGCCGGGGCUUGCUCCGUCCACUCCAUGCAUCGGCCUGGUAUUGCAGUGUCGCUCCAGGAACGGUGUGCUUUUC
rnacentral:snRNA from 1 species